rnacentral:rRNA from 1 species
GACGUAGGGCGCGAGCGUUGUCCGGAUUUAUUGGGCGUAAAGAGCUCGUAGGCGGCUUGUUGCGUCGACUGUGAAAACCCGCGGCUUAACUGCGGGCUUGCAGUUGAUACGGGCAGGCUAGAGUUCGGUAGGGGAGACUGGAAUUCCUGGUGUAGCGGUGAAAUGCGCAGAUAUCAGGAGGAACACCGGUGGCGAAGGCGGGUCUCUGGGCCGAUACUGACGCUGAGGAGCGAAAGCAUGGGGAGCGAACAGG